rnacentral:rRNA from 1 species
AUGGUCAUCGACCUCCGGUGCUGGCGCUCGGGGAACUACUGCCACCGUGUCGAGCAGUGGAUGGAGUUGCAGAAGGAGAAGCGAAUCUACGAGCUGCGGUCCUUGCCCCCUUUCUUGCCCCUCUUCGCCGGCGAGGUGGAGGUUGUCGACCAUCGGUGGAACCAGCACGGCUUGGGCGGCGACAACAUUCUUGGUAGCUGCCGCCCACUCCACAAGGGCCCUGUCAGCCUGAUGCACUGGUCAGGCAAGGGCAAGCCAUGGGAUCGCCUCGACGCCGGCAGGCCUUGCCCGCUACGUGUUCGAAGAAAUGACGAGGACGGACAGCUGGUGAAAUAG